CCAAGGUCUGACUCCAAUGAGAAAUCUAGGGUUCUUUCCUUCCUGUUCCCGAGGAAUUCGAUGCAAUUUGAUGCCAAGAGAAAAUUUUGGGUUGGAUUCAGAUUUUUCUACCUGAUGAAACCAUUUGGUUCAACUUUUCCUAUUGCCAAUCUACAUAUUCCUAUUGGGCACGCUUUUCACUUUUGAAUUUCCUGAAUCAAAAAGAAGAUCUGAGGAAAUUCCAAAAUCGCUUUCCAUUGGAAUGCUCUUGGGAUCACAUACGUCUCCACUUCAGUAAAAAGCAACCCUCUCCCUUUCUCUUGAAUGCGACCCUGGUUAGUCUCCCUCAAAUGGAAAUUAGGCCAUUGGCCUAUCAUAAGGAAUUAUCCAAAUUAAGUACUUAAUCUAUCAUAUCAUUUGGUGCAACAUCAAUACCAGUGUUUGGAUCAACAUUAUAGUUUACCUAACUACAUUUGACUCUUCUUUAACAGGUUAGUACAUUUUCAGGGUUUUUUGAAGGCAUCGACUACUUCACUUACUCUAUUGGACAUCUUAUUGUUAUACCGUUAAUCAACAAAUUGAGAUCAUAGAAUUUUUGCCGGAAGUUUGACAUGAAGCCUUGUAAGAUUAUUCUGAUGUCUGUAUUAUCUUAAUAUAAUGUUGCAGAAGAAGAAUUAAUGAGAUAGGCAUGUGCCCUCACGCAUGUGACAACUUUUGAUAAUUAGGGAUGGCCGUUUUCCCCCCACAUGUAUUGUUGAUAUUCUACAGCAAAUAGGGAGAGUUGAAACUCUGAAAUUCGCUGAAAGCAAUUCCAUUUAAAAGUUCAUUUAUAAUGUGAUAUUACAGUUCACUUUUUAUUUUUUCCAAAUUUACGCUGGAGAUCUGCUUCAUUAACCUACUUGUUAUUAGUAUUGAGUUCAUGAAGGGAAACUUACAACACAGCUCUUGUAGGGGUAGACAUGCAAAUUGUAACUGAUUUCUAUUUGCAACAUAUCAUAUACUAUUUCUCAGCUUUUGCGUUGAAUUCAAGCGCUAUUGAUUGAUCCUCUAUUUUUAUUAGGGCCAGAUCCAUGUUUGUAUGCAUCAGAAGAUUUUGGAGGCAACGUGAUGAAGAUCAGACUUCUGAAAUACCAUGGUGUUUGUUUAGUGACAAACCCAGAGAGUUUUGUUACAGUAUAGCGGCUCACUUACAUCAUCAAUUGACAAAGUCUGAGACGACGGUUUGAGAACGGGCAUAGAUUGCCUAAUGGGAUUAGGUCAAGACCACAUGAUGAUUUACCCUACAAUGCUUUACAACCUACGCAAUCUCGCUUAAUACCAUCAUAAUUGUCAUCAUCCUGGACCCGUUUCAUGCAUCGGAUGUCUUGGCCACUGCCAAAUGGCGUUCAAACGUGCUGCAAUGCUCCACUCUUUGACAUGUUGUGAUCCCAUCCGUUGGAUCAACAUCAACAAUCGUGUCAUAGUCCAUCUGAUCAUGAUCUGAUUGUUGUAAGUGUCGAUAAACAUGUGCAGCCACGUGGAAGAACUUCAAAAGCGGGCAGGUUGGCACCGUAACUUACGCAUACUGAUGAUCAUCCUCCCAUAUCUAGAACUCCAGACUAGAACUCAGAUGAGAAGUUGAAGGGACAGAGAAAGAAGAAAUAACAAACUUGGCUUGGAGGGAAGUCAACAGUGUCAUGCUGAUACAGGGAGCUUUUACCUCAAAUUUUUGUAUUGGCUAAAACUGCCAUAGAAAGAUUAACUACUUUCCUUUUGUUUUUAGGCUUAAUUGCACUUAACUGCCUCAUAGUUUACCUGACCUUGCACUUAAAUGACCUCUUUUUUCAAACCGAACAAAAAAAUGCCCCAAAGUAUUUUAAUUUUGCAGAUAAAUGCCCUCAAAGUUUUAAAAAUAUUGCACGUUAAUGCCCUCUUGUUUACCCAAUGUCGCAUAUAAAUGCCCCAAAGUUUGUAAAUGGUGUCACUUAAAUACCGCAAAGUAUCUAAGAGUUUCACUUUAGUACCCUCUGUUGUAUGACUUAGAGAAAAAACAACGAUGUCUAGGUUUUUUUAGCCAUGGGGUAUUCACCUGCAAUACUUAAAUACUUUGGGUCAUUUUCUUUGUACGGUUUGAAGCUAUAGGGCAUUUAAGCGCAAGAUCAGGAAAACUAUAGGGCGGUUAAGUGCAAUUAAGCCUUGAUUUUAUUGG